UAAUCAUGAACAUAAUCUGAAUGAAAAUACAGCACUCACGUGAGCCACCUCCUCUAUUCCAUCCAGCCUUCCCUUGAACAAAGGCUGCCAGAAGGAGCAUGGGGCCAUGGCCAGCUGGCACAAGAUGAAGCUAUCUGAAGGUUGCUCUAAUCUACUCAGUGGGAUUGACCCAGUACUGAAUUGCCCCAGGAGAAGGAGAGUGUAAAGGUGGCUUAAAGGAACCCUGCCUCAUUCAGUGCAUAGGAUGGAGCUGCGCUGGGGAUGAAUCAGCUCUGUAUAGAGAAGACAGUUGUCUGUAGAACUCCUGCCUCAUUUGUUGGAUGGUGUGUAACGAACAAGGCCGGGAACUGUAGGAAGAGAAAAGGAUGAUCUUAUGGUUAAGGCAGUUGAAUGCUACCCUGGUGAACGGUACCUAUGCCUUUGCCAGAGUACGUAUAUGAUGCUGGGCAAGUCACCUUCACAUGUGGUCACUAACUGUAUGUUCCUCAUUUUCUGGGUGUCUGAUUCAAACUCAGUCUGACUUGCACAAGUGCUGAGCACACACCCCUGCAACUGAACUCAGUGGGCGCUGCACACUGAACACAGGAAGUGCUAAUAAUGGAAAGUACUGUGAAUAAUCAGGUACUAGGCAUCUGAUAUCGGGCAUCCAAAAAUAAUGGAUUUUUUUUAUCUUAAUCUCUCUGUGCCUCAAAUCCCCAUCUGUGAAAUGGGGAGAAUAUCCUUUCAUGUCAUGAGGUGUUGUGCAAAUACAUUCAUUAAUGUCCGUGAACCACUCAGGUACUACACUGAUGAGUGCCAUAGAAAAAGUUUAUAAGAAAAUUAUUCUGUCCUCAGAGCAUGCUUUGAAUAGUGUGCAGCAAAUAAGACUGAGGGUCACACAUUGAACAAUGAGGAGAAAACAAAAUGUUGAAAAGCUGCCCAUUAAAUGAGCACUGUCCAUAAUGUGUGCUGAAUGAGACAAGAGUCCAGUGGAAUAAAUACUACGUGAUCAUGUAAUCAAACACUUUGUCAUUAUGCAUAUGAACAAGG